rnacentral:rRNA from 1 species
GACGAACGCUGGCGGCGUGCUUAACACAUGCAAGUCGAACGGAAAGGCCCUGCUUUUGUGGGGUGCUCGAGUGGCGAACGGGUGAGUAACACGUGAGUAACCUGCCCUUGACUUUGGGAUAACUUCAGGAAACUGGGGCUAAUACCGGAUAGGAGCUCCUGCUGCAUGGUGGGGGUUGGAAAGUUUCGGCGGUUGGGGAUGGACUCGCGGCUUAUCAGCUUGUUGGUGGGGUAGUGGCUUACCAAGGCUUUGACGGGUAGCCGGCCUGAGAGGGUGACCGGCCACAUGGGGACUGAGAUACGGCCCAGACUCCUACGGGGGGCAGCAGUGGGGAAUAUUGCACAAUGGGCGGAAGCCUGAUGCAGCAACGCCGCGGGCGGGAUGACGGCCUUCGGGUUGUAAACCGCUUUCGCCUGUGACGAAGCGUGAGUGACGGUAAUGAGUAAAGAAGCACCGGCUAACUACGUG